AGAGUUUGAUCCUGGCUCAGGACGAACGCUGGCGGCGUGCUUAAUACAUGCAAGUCGAGCGAGGUUUGUAGCAAUACAAGCUUAGCGGCGGACGGGUGAGUAACGCGUGGGCAAUCUGCCCUCUAGCCUGGGAUAACAGUUCGAAAGGACUGCUAACACCGGAUAUGGUGGCAUCACGGCAUCGUGAAGCCAUGAAAGUUUACACUAGAGGAUGAGCCCGCGUCCCAUUAGCUAGUUGGUGAGGUAACGGCCCACCAAGGCGACGAUGGGUAGCCGACCUGAGAGGGUGAACGGCCACACUGGGACUGAGACACGGCCCAGACUCCUACGGGAGGCAGCAGUAGGGAAUUUUCCGCAAUGGGCGAAAGCCUGACGGAGCAACGCCGCGUGAGGGAUGAAGGUCUUCGGAUCGUAAACCUUUGUCUAGAGGGACGAUAAUGACGGUACCUCUGGAGGAAGCCACGGCUAACUACGUGCCAGCAGCCGCGGUAAUACGUAGGUGGCAAGCGUUGUCCGGAAUUACUGGGCGUAAAGGGCGUGUAGGCGGCCUUUUAAGUCAGACGUGAAAACCCUGGGCUUAACCCAGGACCUGCGUUUGAUACUGAAGGGCUUGAGGACCGGAGAGGACAGUGGAAUUCCCAGUGUAGCGGUGAAAUGCGUAGAUAUUGGGAGGAACACCAGUGGCGAAGGCGACUGUCUGGACGGCACCUGACGCUGAGGCGCGAAAGCCAGGGGAGCAAACGGGAUUAGAUACCCCGGUAGUCCUGGCUGUAAACGAUGGGUACUAGGUGUGGGAGGUA
rnacentral:rRNA from 1 species